rnacentral:rRNA from 1 species
AUACGGAGGGUGCAAGCGUUAAUCGGAAUUACUGGGCGUAAAGCGCGCGUAGGCGGCUUGAUAAGUCGGAUGUGAAAUCCCCGGGCUUAACCUGGGAAUUGCGUUCGAUACUGUCAGGCUAGAGUGUGGUAGAGGGAAGUGGAAUUUCCGGUGUAGCGGUGAAAUGCGUAGAUAUCAGAAAGAACAUCAGUGGCGAAGGCGGCUUCCUGGAUCAACACUGACGCUGAGGUGCGAAAGCGUGGGGAGCAAACAGGAUUAGAAACCCUAGUAGUCC